rnacentral:rRNA from 1 species
CGAACGAUUAAACCGCCCUCGGGCGGACAUAGAGUGGCGAACGGGUGAGUAACACGUGACCAACCUGCCCCGCGCUCCGGGACAACCGCUGGAAACGGCGGCUAAUACCGGAUACUCCGGGAGGGCCCCAUGGCCCUGCCGGGAAAGCCGAGACGGCGCGGGAUGGGGUCGCGGCCCAUUAGGUAGACGGCGGGGUAACGGCCCACCGUGCCCGCGAUGGGUAGCCGGACUGAGAGGUCGACCGGCCACAUUGGGACUGAGAUACGGCCCAGACUCCUACGGGAGGCAGCAGUGGGGAAUUUUGCGCAAUGGGGGAAACCCUGACGCAGCAACGCCGCGUGCGGGACGAAGGCCCUCGGGUUGUAAACCGCUUUCAGCAGGGAAGAUCCAAGACGGUACCUGCAGAAGAAGCUCCGGCUAACUACGUGCCAGCAGCCGCGGUAAUACGUAGGGGGCGAGCGUUAUCCGGAUUCAUUGGGCGUAAAGCGCGCGUAGGCGGCCGCCUAAGCGGGACCUCUAACCCCGGGGCUCAACCCCGGGCCGGGUCCCGGACUGGGCGGCUCGAGUGCGGUAGAGGAGAGCGGAAUUCCCGGUGUAGCGGUGGAAUGCGCAGAUAUCGGGAAAAACACCCAUGGCGAAGGCAGCUCUCCGGGCCGUCCCUGACCCCGAGGGCCAAAAGCUGGGCCCUUUUAUGGGACCCCCCCCCNNNNNNNNCCCAACCNNANNCCCUUUAUUGANGGGNGGGGGACGAUCCCUCCGUGCCGCAGCCAACGCAUUAAGCGCCCCGCCUGGGGAGUACGGCCGCAAGGCUAAAACUCAAAGGAAUUGACGGGGGCCCGCACAAGCAGCGGAGCAUGUGGCUUAAUUCGAAGCAACGCGAAGAACCUUACCAGGGCUUGACAUGCCGAUGAAGCCGGGGAGACCCGGUGGCCGAGAGGAGUCGGCGCAGGUGGUGCAUGGCUGUCGUCAGCUCGUGUCGUGAGAUGUUGGGUUAAGUCCCGCAACGAGCGCAACCCCCGCCCCGUGUUGCCAGCAUUCAGUUGGGGACUCGCGGGGGACUGCCGGCGUCAAGCCGGAGGAAGGUGGGGACGACGUCAAGUCAUCAUGCCCCUUAUGCCCUGGGCUGCACACGUGCUACAAUGGCCGGUACAGAGGGUUGCCACCCCGCGAGGGGGAGCGGAUCCCGGAAAGCCGGUCCCAGUUCGGAUCGCAGGCUGCAACCCGCCUGCGUGAAGCCGGAGUUGCUAGUAAU